rnacentral:rRNA from 1 species
UACGAAGGGGGCUAGCGUUGCUCGGAAUCACUGGGCGUAAAGCGCACGUAGGCGGCUUUCUAAGUCAGGGGUGAAAUCCUGGAGCUCAACUCCAGAACUGCCUUUGAUACUGGAGAGCUUGAGUCCGGAAGAGGUGAGUGGAACUCCGAGUGUAGAGGUGAAAUUCGUAGAUAUUCGGAAGAACACCAGUGGCGAAGGCGGCUCUCUGGGCCUUACCUGACGCUGAGGAGCGAAAGCGUGGGUAGCGAACAGG